rnacentral:rRNA from 1 species
GAUGAACGCUGGCGGCGUGCUUAACACAUGCAAGUCGAACGAUGAAGCCCAGCUUGCUGGGUGGAUUAGUGGCGAACGGGUGAGUAACACGUGAGUAACCUGCCCUUAACUCUGGGAUAAGCCUGGGAAACUGGGUCUAAUACCGGAUAGGAGCGUCCACCGCAUGGUGGGUGUUGGAAAGAUUUAUCGGUUUUGGAUGGACUCGCGGCCUAUCAGCUUGUUGGUGAGGUAAUGGCUCACCAAGGCGACGACGGGUAGCCGGCCUGAGAGGGUGACCGGCCACACUGGGACUGAGACACGGCCCAGACUCCUACGGGAGGAAGCAGUGGGGAAUAUUGCACAAUGGGCGCAAGCCUGAUGCAGCGACGCCGCGUGAGGGAUGACGGCCUUCGGGUUGUAACCCUCUUUCAGUAGGGAAGAAGCGAAAGUGACGGUACCUGCAGAAGAAGCACCGGCUAACUACGUG